UACGGAGGGUGCGAGCGUUGUCCGGAAUCACUGGGCGUAAAGGGCGCGUAGGCGGCGCGGGAAGUCAACGGUGAAAGCUUGGGGCUCAACUCCGAGUCGGCCGUCGAUACUCCCGUGCUCGAGCACUGUAGAGGCAGAUGGAAUUCCGGGUGUAGCGGUGGAAUGCGUAGAGAUCCGGAAGAACACCGGUGGCGAAGGCGGUCUGACUGGGCAGUUGCUGGACGCUGAUGCGCGACAGCG
rnacentral:rRNA from 1 species